UCUGGAGGCCGCCUGGGCGCCCUGGUCUCUCUUUCCACCUCCAGGGAGGUGUGUUUGAACCUGUCUGAGCCAAUAGACUCCACGAGCCACAGGGUGCUCCCCGAGCAGGGCGUCUGCCAAGGCAAGGAAGCAGUCUCAGAGGUCGGGUGACACCGCGCCUUCAGACGGGCCCACGGUUCAUCCCCAGCUCCAACCAGUGGAAUCGCUCUGCUCCUAAAGCCACGAAGACAGCGCAGGAAAGGAAACGCACACCCGACCGUCCCCCAGGAAACACGGGCCGCGCGCUGCACACUGCGUCACCACACUGACGACCAAACACGUCUGCGCCUGGCAGUCUUCCGCGUCAGCACCCUGCGGGGGACAGGGACCAGGCCCGUCCAGCCUGCAGCUCACUGCGGGGGACGUGAGGCUGAUUUCAUUGAGGGCGCCGCAGCACGGGGACCGCCCCAGGUCGGGUGAUGGAGGGAAUGGCCUCAACUCCACGGUGACGAUUCUGUUUGAAGACACUCUCAGCCGCCAGGCUCAGAGGUGAUGCAGGAGGAUCAAGGCCCGCCUGGGCACCUUAGCCAGGCGCUGUCUCCACGCGCAAUGGAAAGGGCUGGCGGGGGGCCUCCUGGGCUCCAUCCCCAGCACAGAGCAGUAAAAAGGCUCAGAGGGGAUUUUCUUAAAAUGGUCAAGAGCAUCUGCCAGCGCUUCCCGCACCCACCACGUGGGGUGCCAUCGAGGUUGAAGCAGAGCGGGGGCUGAAACCUGUGUGUGCAGAUGGAGCCCAGUGCCGGGCAGAGCUGCUGGGGAGGCCCAGGGCGGCUGUCCAGGUGGGUGGGCUCUGGUGGGUAGGAACUCACUGCUGCGCACCAGGGCGGGCCCCUGAGGCCUGGGAAGCACGUUCUCAGCCUCUACCUUCCCCUGCUUGCGCCCCAUCCCACCUGAGCUGAGCUAGAAGCUCAAGGGGCAUCAUGUGUGAGAGGUCACACUACCCAAUGGUGGACACAGCUGCCCAAGGUCAGAGGCUGGACAAGUCCCUCACCUUCUGGCUAAUGGCCAGACCAUGGCCCUGGGCAGGACUGGCUGCCACCAUGCUCUGAGCCCGGCAGGGCCCACCACGGUCGCUGACCCAGGCCUGCGGUGCACCCGGAGUGGGGAGCCAGGUGCUGGCCAGGCUGGAGUGGACGAGAUGGUGAUUUUCAUAAGGUUGGAGGCAGAACAAGGGGACCUCAGUCUGCAGCUGAGGUCGGGCCCAGAGGGUUCCUAGAGGCAGGAGCCCACGAUCGUCCUGGACAGUGUCCAGCACUGGAGUGCUGGUCGAGGCGGUCCCAGCGCCAGCAGGUCUCGGCCUCCUGUAAACGGUGGUGUUGUUUGCAAGGGACGCCUUGUGGCACAUAGAGAUCCAGAAGGGGCGGCUCCAGGCCCUCCGAAAGUCCCACCACGAGGAGGCAGAGGCCAGGGGCAGGAGCGUCCAGGUGCACGAGGCCCAGCAGCUCUUCAAGGAGAAGGAAGCCUUGGAGAAGGCGGACAAGAACCAGCAGCUGAGGGUCCGGAAGUCCUUGCAAGUGCAGAAGGGGCUGGGACUCCGACACCGGACGCUGGUGGAAGAGGCCCAGAGGAACCACAAGGUGGCCGUCAAGUUCCUGAAGGCCUCCCUGGGACGGUGCGU